GGGUUGUGAGGUUAAGCGACUAAGCGUACACGGUGGAUGCCCUGGCAGUCAGAGGCGAUGAAGGACGUGCUAAUCUGCGAUAAGCGUCGGUAAGGUGAUAUGAACCGUUAUAACCGGCGAUUUCCGAAUGGGGAAACCCAGUGUGAUUCGUCACACUAUCAUUAACUGAAUCCAUAGGUUAAUGAGGCGAACCGGGGGAACUGAAACAUCUAAGUACCCCGAGGAAAAGAAAUCAACCGAGAUUCCCCCAGUAGCGGCGAGCGAACGGGGAGGAGCCCAGAGCCUGAAUCAGUGUGUGUGUUAGUGGAAGCGUCUGGAAAGGCGCGCGAUACAGGGUGACAGCCCCGUACACAAAAAUGCACAUGCUGUGAGCUCGAUGAGUAGGGCGGGACACGUGGUAUCCUGUCUGAAUAUGGGGGGACCAUCCUCCAAGGCUAAAUACUCCUGACUGACCGAUAGUGAACCAGUACCGUGAGGGAAAGGCGAAAAGAACCCCGGCGAGGGGAGUGAAAAAGAACCUGAAACCGUGUACGUACAAGCAGUGGGAGCACAGAGCAAUCUGUGUGACUGCGUACCUUUUGUAUAAUGGGUCAGCGACUUAUAUUCUGUAGCAAGGUUAACCGAAUAGGGGAGCCGAAGGGAAACCGAGUCUUAACUGGGCGUUAAGUUGCAGGGUAUAGACCCGAAACCCGGUGAUCUAGCCAUGGGCAGGUUGAAGGUUGGGUAACACUAACUGGAGGACCGAACCGACUAAUGUUGAAAAAUUAGCGGAUGACUUGUGGCUGGGGGUGAAAGGCCAAUCAAACCGGGAGAUAGCUGGUUCUCCCCGAAAGCUAUUUAGGUAGCGCCUCGUGAAUUCAUCUCCGGGGGUAGAGCACUGUUUCGGCAAGGGGGUCAUCCCGACUUACCAACCCGAUGCAAACUGCGAAUACCGGAGAAUGUUAUCACGGGAGACACACGGCGGGUGCUAACGUCCGUCGUGAAGAGGGAAACAACCCAGACCGCCAGCUAAGGUCCCAAAGUCAUGGUUAAGUGGGAAACGAUGUGGGAAGGCCCAGACAGCCAGGAUGUUGGCUUAGAAGCAGCCAUCAUUUAAAGAAAGCGUAAUAGCUCACUGGUCGAGUCGGCCUGCGCGGAAGAUGUAACGGGGCUAAACCAUGCACCGAAGCUGCGGCAGCGACACUGUGUGUUGUUGGGUAGGGGAGCGUUCUGUAAGCCUGUGAAGGUGUGCUGUGAGGCAUGCUGGAGGUAUCAGAAGUGCGAAUGCUGACAUAAGUAACGAUAAAGCGGGUGAAAAGCCCGCUCGCCGGAAGACCAAGGGUUCCUGUCCAACGUUAAUCGGGGCAGGGUGAGUCGACCCCUAAGGCGAGGCCGAAAGGCGUAGUCGAUGGGAAACAGGUUAAUAUUCCUGUACUUGGUGUUACUGCGAAGGGGGGACGGAGAAGGCUAUGUUGGCCGGGCGACGGUUGUCCCGGUUUAAGCGUGUAGGCUGGUUUUCCAGGCAAAUCCGGAAAAUCAAGGCUGAGGCGUGAUGACGAGGCACUACGGUGCUGAAGCAACAAAUGCCCUGCUUCCAGGAAAAGCCUCUAAGCAUCAGGUAACAUCAAAUCGUACCCCAAACCGACACAGGUGGUCAGGUAGAGAAUACCAAGGCGCUUGAGAGAACUCGGGUGAAGGAACUAGGCAAAAUGGUGCCGUAACUUCGGGAGAAGGCACGCUGAUAUGUAGGUGAAGUCCCUCGCGGAUGGAGCUGAAAUCAGUCGAAGAUACCAGCUGGCUGCAACUGUUUAUUAAAAACACAGCACUGUGCAAACACGAAAGUGGACGUAUACGGUGUGACGCCUGCCCGGUGCCGGAAGGUUAAUUGAUGGGGUCAGCGCAAGCGAAGCUCUUGAUCGAAGCCCCGGUAAACGGCGGCCGUAACUAUAACGGUCCUAAGGUAGCGAAAUUCCUUGUCGGGUAAGUUCCGACCUGCACGAAUGGCGUAAUGAUGGCCAGGCUGUCUCCACCCGAGACUCAGUGAAAUUGAACUCGCUGUGAAGAUGCAGUGUACCCGCGGCAAGACGGAAAGACCCCGUGAACCUUUACUAUAGCUUGACACUGAACAUUGAGCCUUGAUGUGUAGGAUAGGUGGGAGGCUUUGAAGUGUGGACGCCAGUCUGCAUGGAGCCGACCUUGAAAUACCACCCUUUAAUGUUUGAUGUUCUAACGUGGACCCGUGAUCCGGGUUGCGGACAGUGUCUGGUGGGUAGUUUGACUGGGGCGGUCUCCUCCUAAAGAGUAACGGAGGAGCACGAAGGUUGGCUAAUCCUGGUCGGACAUCAGGAGGUUAGUGCAAUGGCAUAAGCCAGCUUGACUGCGAGCGUGACGGCGCGAGCAGGUGCGAAAGCAGGUCAUAGUGAUCCGGUGGUUCUGAAUGGAAGGGCCAUCGCUCAACGGAUAAAAGGUACUCCGGGGAUAACAGGCUGAUACCGCCCAAGAGUUCAUAUCGACGGCGGUGUUUGGCACCUCGAUGUCGGCUCAUCACAUCCUGGGGCUGAAGUAGGUUCCAAGGGUAUGGCUGUUCGCCAUUUAAAGUGGUACGCGAGCUGGGUUUAGAACGUCGUGAGACAGUUCGGUCCCUAUCUGCCGUGGGCGCUGGAGAACUGAGGGGGGCUGCUCCUAGUACGAGAGGACCGGAGUGGACGCAUCACUGGUGUUCGGGUUGUCAUGCCAAUGGCACUGCCCGGUAGCUAAAUGCGGAAGAGAUAAGUGCUGAAAGCAUCUAAGCACGAAACUUGCCCCGAGAUGAGUUCUCCCUGACCCUUUAAGGGUCCUGAAGGAACGUUGAAGACGACGACGUUGAUAGGCCGGGUGUGUAAGCGCAGCGAUGCGUUGAGCUAACCGGUACUAAUGAACCGUGAGGCUUAACCUUACAACGCCGAAGGUGUUU
rnacentral:rRNA from 2 species